rnacentral:rRNA from 1 species
UACGUAGGGCGCAAGCGUUGUCCGGAAUUAUUGGGCGUAAAGGGCUCGUAGGCGGUUUGUCGCGUCGGGAGUGAAAACUCAGGGCUCAACCCUGAGCGUGCUUCCGAUACGGGCAGACUAGAGGUAUGCAGGGGAGAACGGAAUUCCUGGUGUAGCGGUGGAAUGCGCAGAUAUCAGGAGGAACACCGGUGGCGAAGGCGGUUCUCUGGGCAUUACCUGACGCUGAGGAGCGAAAGCAUGGGGAGCGAACAGG